UACAGGGGGUGCAAACGUUGCUCGGAAUCAUUGGGCGUACAGCGCACGUAGGCGGUUCGUUAUGUCGGAUGUGAAAGCCCUUGGCUUAACCGAGGAAGUGCAUCCGAAACUGGCGAGCUAGAGUACUAAAGAGGAUCGCGGAAUUCCCGGUGUAGAGGUGAAAUUCGUAGAUAUCGGGAGGAACACCGGUGGCGAAGGCGGCGAUCUGGGUAGAUACUGACGCUGAGGUGCGAAAGCGUGGGGAGCAAACAGG
rnacentral:rRNA from 1 species